rnacentral:rRNA from 1 species
GACGAACGCUGGCGGUGUGCUUAACACAUGCAAGUCGAACGGAAAGGCCCUGCUUUUGUGGGGUGCUCGAGUGGCGAACUGGUGAUUAACACGUGAGUAACCUGCCCUUGACUUUGGGUUAACUUCAGUAAACUGGGGCUAAUACCGGAUAGGAGCUCCUUCUGCAUGGUGGGGGUUGGAAAGUUUCGGCGGUUGGGGAUGGAUUCGCGGCUUACCAGCUUGUUGGUGGGGUAGUUGCUUACCAAGGCUUUGACGGGUAGCCGGCCUGAGAGGGUGACCGGCCACAUUGGGACUGAGGUACGGACCAGACUCCUAAGGGGGGCAAAAGUAGAGGAAAGUGCAAAAUGAGCGGAAGCCUGAAGCAGCAGCGCCGCGUGCGGGAUAACGGCCUUCGGGUUGUAAACCGCUUUCGCCUGUGACGAAGCGUGAGUGACGGUAAUGGGUAAAGAAGCACCGGCUAACUACGUG